AACGUAGGAGACAACCGUUAUCCGGAGUUACUGGGCGUAAAGGGUGCGUAGGCGGGUCUUUAAGUCAGGGGGGAAAUCCUGGAGCUCAACUCCAGAACUGCCUUUGAUACUGAGGAUCUUGAGUUCGGGAGAGGUGAGUGGAACUGCGAGUGUAGAGGUGAAAUUCGUAGAUAUUCGCAAGAACACCAGUGGCGAAGGCGGCUCACUGGCCCGAUACUGACGCUGAGGCACGAAAGCGUGGGGAGCAAACAGG
rnacentral:rRNA from 1 species